rnacentral:rRNA from 1 species
AUUGAACGCUGGCGGCAGGCCUAACACAUGCAAGUCGAACGGUAACAGGAAGCAGCUUGCUGCUUUGCUGACGAGUGGCGGACGGGUGAGUAAUGUCUGGGAAACUGCCUGAUGGAGGGGGAUAACUACUGGAAACGGUAGCUAAUACCGCAUAACGUCGCAAGACCAAAGAGGGGGACCUUAGGGCUUCUUGCCAUCGGAUGUGCCCAGAUGGGAUUAGCUAGUAGGUGGGGUAACGGCUCACCUAGGCGACGAUCCCUAGCUGGUCUGAGAGGAUGACCAGCCACACUGGAACUGAGACACGGUCCAGACUCCUACGGGAGGCAGCAGUGGGGAAUAUUGCACAAUGGGCGCAAGCCUGAUGCAGCCAUGCCGCGUGUAUGAAGAAGGCCUUCGGGUUGUAAAGUACUUUCAGCGGGGAGGAAGGGAGUAAAGUUAAUACCUUUGCUCAUUGACGUUACCCGCAGAAGAAGCACCGGCUAACUCCGUG